CAGCUGCUCAGCUAAAAAAUGUUAAUUAAAAGAAGCAAAAGUGGAUAACGUGGUGCCAGUAAGAUGGUAUCAAUAUGAUCUAGUCUCAAUUAAGUUAGUCGCAGGUAAGUGUUAAAAAAAAGUUUUACCAUUUAUUUUUAGACUAAUUUUUUAAUGUAUUGUGCUUGAAGAACGAUGUUUAUUACAUAUUAAAUUAAAAUAUUUAUUUUCAGACAAAAAAUAAAACCUGUAAACAACUUCUCUCUAUAUUUACUUGUUCAGAUGCCAGUAAAACAAACGAUAGAAAAGAAGAAGCAUUCAAAAUGUUCGCAAAAUUUUUGGUUCGGAUACAAAAAACCAAGUGAAAAUGAUACUGGAAAGUAUUUUGUCAAUAACGGAUUUUUAAAUUGUUAUGAGUCUACAACACUUAAUUUCAGCGAAACUCAAUUAAAGAAUCAUGUUAUAGAAGACAGAAAAGUACCAAUAUCUGUUUUCAAUAACUUGGUUUUCAUAGCAAAUCUGAGAGACUGUUUACCGUUUAAGUCCUGUCCCAAUCUAACCUAGUGGGUUUAAAAAGAAGGGGCCGCGCUGGAAACAGUGGAUUAAAAGGUUCAGCCCUUUUUGAAUUAAUAGUCGAAGUGUUAACCAGCUAGAAGUCGUAACCUGCUCGUAUAAAAGGAUUUCUCGACGUGAAAUUGUUAAUUUUAUUCAACAACGCCAAGAAACAGAGCUCGCUCAAGAAACAGAAAAGAAAGAGAAAGA